rnacentral:lncRNA from 1 species
AAUAAGCUUUCUAUGCAAAAUUCCCCCAAAAUAAAAAGUACUUUUUUUAGAUGAAAAUGCCGUUCCCAUAUAAAAAAAUCAAUUUUGUGUGAUUUGACGCCUCACAAGUUCUACUGCCGGAGCACCUUUUGCCACCGUCUGAGCGAUGUGUCUCACAAGUUCUAUUGCCGGAGCGUCCUUUGCAACUGUCGAAGCGGUAUUGCUGGAGCGCCCUUGGCUACUACCGAAACGCUGUGUCGCACAGGUUCUACUACCGGAGAGAGAGGCGUGUGAGAGAGAGGCGUGUGCAAUAGUAUUAAGGGUAGUUUAGUCUUUUUAUUUUAUUUUAUUUAGGUUGGGGGUUAUUUGCAUAAAAAAUUUGUUAUAGGGAAAAAACUGAGAAAAAAAGUUAGAUUGAGAG